rnacentral:rRNA from 1 species
AUUGAACGCUGGCGGCAGGCCUAACACAUGCAAGUCGAACGAGUGGCGGACGGGUGAGUAAUGUCUGGGAAACUGCCUGGUGGAGGGGGCUAACUACUGGACACUGUAGCUAAUACCGUAUACCAUCAGAUGUGCCCAGAUGGGAUGAGCUUGUUGGUGGGGUAACCGCCCACCAAGGCGACGAUCCCUAGCUGGUCUGAGAGGAUGACCAGCCACACUGGAACUGAGACACGGUCCAGACUCCUACGGGAGGCAGCAGUGGGGAAUAUUGCACAAUGGGCGAAAGCCUGAUGCAGCCAUGCCGCGUGUAUGAAGAAGGCCUUCGGGUUGUAAAGUACUUUCAGCGGGGAGGCGUUACCCGCAGAAGAAGCACCGGCUAACUCCGUGCCAGCAGCCGCGGUAAUUC